rnacentral:rRNA from 1 species
GGAAUCUUCGGCAAUGGACGAAAGUCUGACCGAGCAACGCCGCGUGAGUGAAGAAGGUUUUCGGAUCGUAAAACUCUGUUGUUAGAGAAGAACGUUGUGUAGAGUGGAAAAUUACACAAGUGACGGUAUCUAACCAGAAAGGGACGGCUAACUACGUGCCAGCAGCCGCGGUAAUACGUAGGUCCCGAGCGUUGUCCGGAUUUAUUGGGCGUAAAGCGAGCGCAGGUGGUUUAAUAAGUCUGAUGUAAAAGGCAGUGGCUCAACCAUUGUGUGCAUUGGAAACUGUUAGACUUGAGUGCAGUAGAGGAGAGUGGAAUUCCAUGUGUAGCGGUGAAAUGCGUAGAUAUAUGGAGGAACACCGGUGGCGAAAGCGGCUCUCUGGACUGUAACUGACACUGAGGCUCGAAAGCGUGGGUAGCAAACAGGAUUAGAUACCCCAG